AACGAACGCUGGCGGCAUGCCUAACACAUGCAAGUCGAACGAAGCUUCGGCCUUAGUGGCGCACGGGUGCGUAACGCGUGGGAAUCUGCCCCUCGGUUCGGAAUAACAGUUAGAAAUGACUGCUAAUACCGGAUGAUGACUUCGGUCCAAAGAUUUAUCGCCGAGGGAUGAGCCCGCGUAAGAUUAGGUAGUUGGUGGGGUAAAGGCCUACCAAGCCGACGAUCUUUAGCUGGUCUGAGAGGAUGAUCAGCCACACUGGGACUGAGACACGGCCCAGACUCCUACGGGAGGCAGCAGCGGGGAAUAUUGGACAAUGGGCGAAAGCCUGAUCCAGCAAUGCCGCGUGAGUGAUGAAGGCCUUAGGGUUGUAAAGCUCUUUUACCAGGGAUGAUAAUGACAGUACCUGGAGAAUAAGCUCCGGCUAACUCCGUGCCAGCCGCCGCGGUAA
rnacentral:rRNA from 1 species